rnacentral:rRNA from 2 species
ACAGGGAUUGCCCUAGUAACGGCGAGUGAAGCGGCAACAGCUCAAAUUUGAAAUCUGGCUCUUUUAGAGUCCGAGUUGUAAUUUGCAGAGGGCGCUUUGGCUUUGGCAGCGGUCCAAGUUCCUUGGAACAGGACGUCACAGAGGGUGAGAAUCCCGUACGUGGUCGCUAGCUAUUGCCGUGUAAAGCCCCUUCGACGAGUCGAGUUGUUUGGGAAUGCAGCUCUAAAUGGGAGGUAAAUUUCUUCUAAAGCUAAAUAUUGGCCAGAGACCGAUAGCGCACAAGUAGAGUGAUCGAAAGAUGAAAAGCACUUUGGAAAGAGAGUCAAACAGCACGUGAAAUUGUUGAAAGGGAAGCGCUUGCAGCCAGACUUGCUUGCAGUUGCUCAUCCGGGCUUUUGCCCGGUGCACUCUUCUGCAGGCAGGCCAGCAUCAGUUUGGGCGGUGGGAUAAAGGUCUCUGUCACGUUCCUUCCUUCGGGUUGGCCAUAUAGGGGAGAUGUCAUACCACCAGCCUGGACUGAGGUCCGCGCAUCUGCUAGGAUGCUGGCGUAAUGGCUGUAAGCGGCCCGUCUUGAAACACGGACCAAGGAGUCUAACAUCUAUGCGAGUGUUUGGGUGUCAAGCCCGAGCGCGUAAUGAAAGUGAACGGAGGUGGGAACCCGCAAGGGUGCACCAUCGACCGAUCCUGAAGUUUACGGAAGGAUUUGAGUAAGAGCAUGGCUGUUGGGACCCGAAAGAUGGUGAACUAUGCUUGAAUAGGGUGAAGCCAGAGGAAACUCUGGUGGAGGCUCGCAGCGGUUCUGACGUGCAAAUCGAUCGUCAAAUUUGGGCAUAGGGGCGAAAGACUAAUC